AUGUACCUAAAGGUGCAUUGGGAUUGCAGAGCGCCGUAUAAUUGGGGAAGAGGGAGAAAGGGAUUUUUUUUUUUUUUUUUUACAGUUCCUCCUAGGGGCGCCUGGGUGGCUCAGUCGGUUGGGCAACCCAUCCUUGAUCUCAGCUCAGGUCAUGACCUCAGGGUGGGGGACCAGCCCAACCGCCAGCUCUGUGCUGGGCAGGGAGCCUGCUUAAGAUUCCUCCCUCUCUCUCCCUCUCCCUCUCUCUCUCUCUCUCUCUCUCUCCUCUGUCCCUCCUCCCACCCCAAAGAAAAGGAUAUUUUGGGGAAAAGUCCCUCCAGACACUGGCGAGCUGCUCUGUCCUCCAGGCGACAACCAGGAGGCAGCAUCACCGUCAGGUGCUACCACCGAGCGCGGGGCCGGGGGACCAGGGUCCGGGCGCUGGUCUCCGAAGCCCCUUGAACACGAGACACUUCCUCGGUGCUGCACGUUGGCCCGCACGUCACUAUGACCCGGGGUCGCGGAGGGCCGGUCGCCCCGCCCCGGGCAGCCCUGAGAGGGGACUCUGCACCCUGGCCUGCGGCUGCACCCCGGGCCGCCCAGCGCUGCUCCCCUGCAAGGUCCUGGGUGGGCGGGAAGGAGCUAGACUCGCCCAGAGACCAGUAUCACCCUUGGGUGCGUGUGACAAUCCUCCGGGGAGCCUUCGGCACGCUGCACGCGGGGGCCUCAAAAUCAGAAUCCCUGGGAGGAAGGGAGCUCUUGCAUCAGGAGCUGUCACCCCCCCCACCCACCGCACGCCCCGCACCCCGGGGUGCGUCUAACCCGCGCCAGGAGUGAGGGCCACGGAGGCAGCGCCCUGCAAACCACGCUGCGCUCACGAAUUCCCGGGGGGGCUUGACCAAACGCAGGUUUUGGUGCAGCAGGUCUGGUUUGGGGGCCCGAGGUUCCACCUUCCUAACGACUUCCCAGGCGACGACGCGGCCGAUGCGGGUGCCGGGCCCCCCUGCGGCCCCCCUGCGGCUCCCCUGCGGCCCCAGGGAACCGGGCCUGUGGUUCUUGCGCCCCCUGGUGCCCAAAACCUCCCUAGCAGCGCCCCGCGGAGAAGAGGGGGCGUUUGUUGGGAGCCUCCCUCCUCCAAUAGAUGCUAUUUCUAGACCAUUUCCAGAUUCUUCCCCAGAGCCUGGCCACUGACGUCUUCAUUUCGGCGUCGCAAUAAACUGCGUGUGAACCUGCCUGGACUCCUGACC
rnacentral:lncRNA from 12 species